rnacentral:lncRNA from 1 species
AUUCAUAUUUGUUAUUCUAUUAAUUGGAGGUCAAUUAACUAGCUGGAAGUUGUCUAACUUUAAGAGAAUUUGAAGUACAAGAUUCAUAUUUGUUAUUCUAUUAAUUGGAGGUCAAUUAACUAGCUGGAAGUUGUCUAACUUUAAGAGAAUCUGAAGUACAAGGACCUAUUAAUUGGUCAACUAACUAGAAGUUACCUAACCUGAAAGCUAAUUAACUUAGAGCUAACAUAGAGGAUUUGCAAACAAUUAUAAUAUCAAUGUUAUAAAAAGAAGAAAAUUAUAACAAAGUUCAGAUUAGUAUGAAUGCAUGAGGUGCAUGAUUGUGCAAUAUGUAGUAAACUAUAAAGGUCGAAUGUUGCGGUUUUGAAAAUCUAAGAAGAAACGGGCCAUUUUGCGUGCAGAAGAUUGGCAUUUCGAAGAAACGUUUCGUAUUUUAAACAUUUUACUGAAGUGUGAUACAUUAGCAUAGUCGAUGAAAAAUACGUAUUAAAAAGCGGCUACAUCGUCCAAUUAUAAUCUGACGUGAAACGUUUGAACCGUGUAACGCGAAUCGACUUUUCUGUAAUAACUACGCUCAACGAUAGUUGCACGAAAUGAUACGGAAUAAUAGUAAGCCAAGACAGAUCUCAAGAUAGCGUUUGUCAUAAUAACAAGGUAAUAGAGCGUUUCAAAUUUGAAGAAACACCCGCGUUCCACUUUUAGUUCGUAUCUUUUUUUGUUGGCAGUCCUCAGUUUGCAUUUCCUCGUGCAAGAGGCUUAUCGUAGGGCUAGCAGGAUGAUUAGCCGCAUGAAGCUUAAGAAUUGCAGAAUGCACGAUAUGAAUACGUGAUACAUGUUGCGGCCGAAGGUCGAGUGAAAAAGGCGAUAAUAUUAACAUUGUACGCUUCCUUUGCAUAAAAAUUUGCAAUCACAUUAUGUACCUUGAUACGAGAAAAAUUAAUUGUCAACUCGAUGGCAACAUUCUUAGCACGUGAACCGAGUGUCGAAAAAACUCGAAAGUGUUAUCACCUUCAUAUUUUACAAGCUCCGAGUCUAUAAAGUUGAAGAUAUAAUCGCAGAGGUCAAUGCAAUGACCUCUUAAAUAUUUAAACUACGAAAGCAAUCUUUUAUUAUUUAUAAAGCUUAUCGAAAAUGCAACGUUAAGUAUACAUUUUAUUGCAUGUGAGUUAUAUUCGCAAGAAUAUAGUGUUAUAUUAAAUUGCAGGCGAUUCGUCGUAUUCCGAUGGUCAUCUUUAUAAUAUUUCCUUGGCAUGGAGAAUAGUCGAUACUUCGGGUUUGCGUGUCUGGCGUGGAAGGCGGCUGACCAGAUUCGUUCCUCGACCACUUAAGUAAUCGAGCGACGGCCGAGCGGCUCGUAUAUCACGCUCUAAGUCAACAGUUGCUUUAAGAUCCUUUUACAAGUAUUUUUAUGGGACAGAAUAGUACUUAAUUAGCAACAAUGAAGGUCAGCAUUACUAAAUACAAAUUCCAGUUAAUAUUCAGCAUACGUUGUAUUAACACAUCACCACAUAAGACAUUAAAACAUUGAUUAAAUCUGGAAGAAUCAUGCAGAUCAAUAGUCCUCUGAAAAAUAACAGAAAGUCUUUUUAUUGUUAUUGUUCCUUAUGUUUGCCUAAUAACGGCACCGAUUAAAAUCAGAAUUUCAAGCACGCACCUUCGUGAUAUUUAUGGGGAAAUGUCGGAUAUCGCUCAAGCCUCUUAUCUUCAUGGAGAACGACACUUUACGACUUUCUGAAACUAAAGAAAAAGAAUGACUGAUUAUGAACUGAGCCCUUCUGGUUUUAUAGUAAAGUCAAUACCAGAGGACACCGUUCUGGAAAACUCAUACGUUUUCCCUAUUACUCAUUGCCAGCAUUUCCAGGACAAACUCGUUGACCUCUUUGAAUAGUUUGAUUCUUAGACACGACAGCAAUUUCAUAUAUUUCCAUCAUGAAGGAGAACUUGUAAAACAAUCAUUGGCAUAAGGGAAACCUAACACUCCUCAAAACUGAUAAAAUUUGUAAUUCACACAAUUAGUAAAAUUACAGAAACUAAAAUCCUUGUUAGGCCAAAGUCUGCAAUAGAAAAAGAACUUGCAAAACAAUCAUUGGCAUAAGGGAAACUUAACACUCCUCAAAACUGAUAAAAUUUGUAACUGACAUAAUCAGUAAAAUUACAGAAACCAAAAUCCUUGUUAGGCCAAAGUCUGCAAUAGAAAAAGAACUUGCAAAACAAUCAUUGGCAUAAGGGAAACCUAACACUCUUCAAAAGUGAUAAAAUUUGUAAUUCACACAAUUAGUAAAAUUACAGAAACCAAAAUCCUUGUUGCACCAAUGUCUGCAAUAGGUCAGAAUGAAGUCAUUUCCCUUUUUUAGUUUCUAAUACUGUUUCAGUUGUGCAAUACAUUAGACACCGUCGACACACGUCCAGUGGAACAAUCAUUACAGUGAUAUCGUCUUUGUGUUAGCCUACUCCAAGCUUUCACCCUACUACAAGUUGAGUGGCCUCCACUUAUCCUACUGCCAUCGCUGUCUUCCUUGCUUCUGUAAUAUACGCUUGUUGUGGUACAUUAAUUGAUGUCGCUGCUCAUAUGUUUCCAUGUUUUACAGGACCAUGUAAAUUAUUAGGGAGCACAGAACACCUGCAAUUAUAUUUAUGGUCAUUAUUCAUACUUGUCAGUUCUACUUACAGUUAUCAUUGAAUGUUACAUCCAAGUCAUUAAGAUGAUAUCCAGGUGCUUGUAGGUCAAACUAGAUUAUGCAGAACCAUUGAGUAUUUGACUUUAACUAACAAGAUAAGAUGCAGAGGCAUAUUUUUCAAGGUGCAUCAAGGAAACAUCGCGUACAUCAUAAGGGUUAUCAGGUCCGUUUCAACAAUGUCCUCGAGGUUCAGAUCCAAAUUUAGAACAAGCGUUCCAUGCCAGUGGGCCAUGAAAAAAAUUAUAUUAAAUUAAACGUGAACACGAAACCGUGGCUCCCGUUAACUUAUUAAGCAAUUCAUUAACUCACAAUGGUUUAGAAUUUAGACGCAGUAUAAAAUUUAAAAAAUAGAUGGUCAAACGUGAUAAUAUUACAUUGUUGACUUUAAGUAAUACCAUUUCAUUUCAGACAAUAUUUUUACGAAUUAUAAGUUUUCUUCGCAUCGUUCGCUCGAAGGACAACCAUGUUUACGUGGUGCGUGUUUCGGAUUUCGUGUCGUGAACAUACCACAAAAGUCGCUACC